rnacentral:rRNA from 1 species
AGUUUGAUCCUGGCUCAGGAUGAACGCUGGCGGCGUGCCUAACACAUGCAAGUCGAACGGGGAUAUAUUGGAAUGAGGAUUCGUCUGAAGGAAAAUGUAUCUUANUGGCGGACGGGUGAGUAACGCGUGGGCAACCUACCGUAUACAGGGGGAUAACACUUAGAAAUAGGUGCUAAUACCGCAUAAGCGCACAGCAGUGCAUACUGGAGUGUGAAAAGCCGAGACGGUAUACGAUGGGCCCGCGUCUGAUUAGCCAGUUGGCAGGGUAACGGCCUACCAAAGCGACGAUCAGUAGCCGGCCUGAGAGGGCGGACGGCCACAUUGGGACUGAGACACGGCCCAGACUCCUACGGGAGGCAGCAGUGGGGGAUAUUGCACAAUGGGGGGAACCCUGAUGCAGCGACGCCGCGUGAGUGAAGAAGUAAUUCGUUAUGUAAAGCUCUAUCAGCAGGGAAGAAUAAAUGACGGUACCUGAGUAAGAAGCCCCGGCUAACUACGUGCCAGCAGCCGCGGUAAUACGUAGGGGGCAAGCGUUAUCCGGAUUUACUGGGUGUAAAGGGAGCGUANACNGCGAUGCAAGCCAGAUGUGAAAGCCCGCGGCUCAACUGCGGUAGUGCAUUUGGAACUGUAUGGCUGGAGUGCANGANAGGCANGCGGAAUUCCUAGUGUAGCGGUG